GCCUCUUUGCUUGACAUCAUGGGAAAAUCAAACGAAAAUCAUCCAAGACCUCAGAAAAAUGGGGCCCUGAUGUGCUUUAGGACCAUGCGGACACCUCAGAGUGGUCGGCAGGUUGUUUUCCCUGAUUUCAGUCGUUUGGAUUUAGGACGCCAUGGACACCACAGGACCAGCAUGGGAGAGAAAAACAGAGGCAGGUGCUGUCUGUGUUCUGCUUUUUCUCUCAGUUUUAAAAACAGCCAGAGCAGAAACUAGCUACUCUUUAGUUGACUGAUCUAGCUGGCAAGCAGGAUCAGGUGGUGACAGGAGUCUCAUCAGGGUCAGGCAACCAGGGAAGACCAGUCUGUGACAGCGCAGAGGAGAACUUUUGCAGAUACAACACGUUAUCCUCUCUGUGCAGCAAACACUGGACAAGCAAGAAGCUUCAAAGAAUCAAAAUAUUUUAAGGCAGUCUGCCAAACCUCUAAAGUUGAUUACCAAACUGUGUCAAGGGUUGAUAUAGUAUUUUCCCGAUGACACAAAAUAUGUAAAACAAAAAAGUAAGGAAGAUCUGGGAGAUGUUAUUGAUGAUGAAUGGAUACAGAUAUGUUAAAUGCCCAGUCAUGUUUAUGUAAUCUCACACACAAAUCACUGCAUUUUAAGACAAUCCGUAGAAUGUACAAUAUGCCAAUGAAACUUAAUUUCAGGCUCUCAGAAAUGUAAUUCUUCUGCUGGAGGUGUAAAACACAAAAGGGGACAUAUUUCUAUAUGGUAUGGCUGGCUGAAUUCUGGCAAAGAGUAUGUGCUUUUAUCUCAAAAUGUCUACAUCUCCCUUUUCCCUGUUUUUGUUUGGUUGGAAAUGUUGAUACUGGAGACUGUUAUCAGAUGAAACUGUGUAACCUAGCAUUUAUAAUGGCUAAAAAAUGCAUUGCCAUUUAUUGGAAGAUUGGUUAUCCUCCCACAAUGGAUAGAAGAAAUAUAAAGUAAUGUAUCACUGGCUGCCUGAUAUGGAAUACUGUACAACAAAA